rnacentral:rRNA from 1 species
CUACCAUGCAGUCGAGCGGUAACAGGGGUAGCUUGCUACCCGCUGACGAGCGGCGGACGGGUGAGUAAUGCAUGGGAAUCUGCCCGGUAGUGGGGGAUAACUCGGGGAAACCCGAGCUAAUACCGCAUACGUCCUACGGGAGAAAGCAGGGGAUCUUCGGACCUUGCGCUAUCGGAUGAGCCCAUGCCGGAUUAGCUUGUUGGUGAGGUAAUGGCUCACCAAGGCAACGAUCCGUAGCUGGUCUGAGAGGAUGAUCAGCCACACCGGGACUGAGACACGGCCCGGACUCCUACGGGAGGCAGCAGUGGGGAAUAUUGGACAAUGGGGGAAACCCUGAUCCAGCCAUGCCGCGUGUGUGAAGAAGGCCUUCGGGUUGUAAAGCACUUUCAGUGGGGAAGAAUGCCUUGUGGUUAAUACCCGCGAGGAAGGACAUCACCCACAGAAGAAGCACCGGCUAACUCCGUGCCAGCAGCCGCGGUAAUACGGAGGGUGCAAGCGUUAAUCGGAAUUACUGGGCGUAAAGGGCGCGUAGGCGGCUCGUCAAGCCGGAUGUGAAAGCCCCGGGCUCAACCCGGGAACGGCAUUCGGAACUGGCUGGCUAGAGUGCAGGAGAGGAAGGUGGAAUUCCCGGUGUAGCGGUGAAAUGCGUAGAGAUCGGGAGGAAUACCAGUGGCGAAGGCGGCCUUCUGGACUGACACUGACGCUGAGGCGCGAAAGCGUGGGUAGCAAACAGGAUUAGAUACCCUGGUAGUCCACGCCGUAAACGAUGUCGACCAGCCGUUGGACCCCUUGAGGGUUUGGUGGCGUAGUUAACGCAAUAAGUCGACCGCCUGGGGAGUACGGCCGCAAGGCUAAAACUCAAAUGAA